GUGAAUUCGGGAGUUCAGCUCUGAAAUAUGAGUCUGACCCCAUUCCUUUCCAAUUAACACUUGUGCAUUUUUCCUUCAGCGAUCCCUUAGAGGAAAGCUGGGAAAGCUCUUGUGAUUGUAAACACAGUCGAGGAUGUAAAUCCAAAUUGAAAAAGUUAUAA
rnacentral:misc_RNA from 1 species